UGUCAUUAUUGGUUAUCAAGUUGCGCGCAUGUGCUGUUGAGCUAAGGCCUUUUCGUGAGCUUAGUUACCGAAGAAAAGAUUUAAUCUAUUUGAAAGUUGUAUUCAAAAGUAGUAAAUUAUGAGGGUUUGUGCUUAUAUUAUGUAACACACGUAAUAAUAAUAAUAUUACAUGCUGAAAGUGAGGUAAUCAGUUUUAUUCAGGGUAAUAAAACUUGUGAUGAAAAAUGGGCUCCCGUGGACAUGGUAGGUGGUUUCAUCCCAACAUUACGGGGCUGCUAGCAGAAAAAAUGCUAAUGGAAAGAGGUUUUGAUGGAAGUUUUUUGGCUCGUCCUAGCAAGUCGAAUCCGGGAGACUUUACAUUAUCUGUGAGGAGAAAUGGAGAAGUUACACACAUCAAGAUUCAAAACACGGGUGACUUUUAUGAUCUGUAUGGUGGAGAGAAGUUUGCCACUCUAGCUGAGCUGGUGCAGUACUACAUGGAAAAUCAGGGUCAGUUACGAGAAAAAAGUGGAGAGGUUAUUGAAUUGAGGUAUCCUCUUAACUGUGCAGACCCUACUACCGAUCGUUGGUUUCAUGGACCUUUGUCAGGGAAGGAAACCGAGAAGCUGGUGUUGGAAAAAGGAAAAAAUGGUAGCUUCUUAGUACGAGAAAGUCAAAGUAAACCUGGAGACUAUGUUUUGUCUGUUCGAACAGAUGACCGAGUUACUCAUGUAAUGAUUAGAUGCCAGGAUGGAAAAUUUGAUGUGGGUGGCGGAGAAAAGUUUGAGAGUUUACGAGAGCUUGUAGACCAUUACAGAAAAAAUCCGAUGGUUGAGACGACAGGAACUGUGGUGCACUUGAAGCAACCAUUUAAUGCUACACGCAUUACAGCAUCAACCAUAGAACACAGAGUCAAGGAGCUGUCUAAAGAGAACAUUCAGAGCUCUAAAGCUGGAUUUUGGGAAGAAUUUGAGUAUUUGCAGCAACAAGAAUGUAAACAUUUAUAUAGCAGGAAAGAAGGUCAACGCCCAGAAAACCGAGCCAAAAAUCGCUAUAAAAAUAUUUUACCUUUUGAUCAUACUCGGGUGAUUCUUCGAGAUGAGGAUCCAAAUGUGGUCGGCUCUGAUUAUGUAAAUGCUAAUAUCAUCCAGGCAGAGGAUGACGGCAGCCCAGAUAAUGGGAAAAAGUAUUACAUAGCUACCCAAGGAUGUCUAGCAAAUACAGCAGAAGACUUCUGGAGGAUGGUAAUUCAAGAAAAUACAAGGGUUGUUGUUAUGACAACAAAAGAAGUUGAAAGAGGAAAGAAUAAGUGUUAUAGAUACUGGCCAGAAGAAGGGCAAGAAAAGGUGUGGGGGAAAAUAACUGUAAAGAGUUUAGCUGAAUCAUCCACAGCCGACUAUACCUUACGGGAAUUUCAAGUGUCCAAAGAAGACCAGUGUAAGUCAAUUACCAUAUAUCAGUAUCACUUCACUGCCUGGCCAGACCACGGUGUUCCCUCUGAUCCUGGUUGUGUUCUCAAUUUUCUUCAUGAUGUCAACCGUCGACAAGACUCUAUACCUGAUGCUGGCCCUAUCGUUGUCCACUGCAGUGCUGGUAUUGGAAGAACUGGAACUUUCAUUGUAAUAGACAUGAUUGUAGACCAAAUACGAAAACAAGGGUUAGACUGUGAGAUUGACAUCCAAAGAACAAUCCAGACAGUACGGUCUAGACGGUCUGGCAUGGUGCAGACAGAAGCCCAGUAUAAAUUUGUUUACCUUGCCGUUCAACAUUACAUUGACACUUUACAACAAAGGAUGCAGGCCGAACAAGUUAAAAAGUUUAUUGAUGGGACGGGAAUACACCAAUAUAAAAUAUACCACUGAGGCAGCGGGUGGCAGUGAUCCAGCCAAGACUCUAUCCAGGUCAACAAGUUCACUCUCAGGACUCGCAGUUCCUUGUUUAUCACCAAGUCCUACAUCAGUUACCCCAAUUCCAGCCCCAAGAAAUUCAGAGGUGAAGAAACCCCCUGUACCUCCCAGACCAAGUAUGGAAAAUAUUUUACCCAGGGGAGAGGUUUAAGGAAUACAGAUAGGUGUAAUAUCAAACAGCUUACUACCAGCAAGUGCUUGCUUUGCUUUCCUGGAGCUUAGAUUCAAACUGCUUUCCUAGAAAAGAAAGGAGACAUCUAAUAAAAAUUGAAGAUUUAUAAAAAGGAGAUUUCACAUUCUUCCAUUGCAGUAUGUGUGUAAAUAAGAAAUGAUCGAAGACACGAAUUUGAGCACAGCGUGUAAAGUUGCUUUAUUUUUUACACACCCGAUCUCUUAAAAGUAUGUCUGUGUACCAGGAGUUUUCUAUUUAUUUAUAUAUACAUAUAUAUAUUUUUUUUUUGCUUCAGCACAAACCGCACUGGCAAAAGUUUUAGAUGAUGUCUGAAGACUUAGUACUAAUCCUAUCAGUAUGAAGCUAAAUGGAUUGGAAUAAAAAAAGUAAAAGUUUAGUUGUAGCACUUUUAGUAACUGUUAAACGUAGAAACGUGUCUCGGUGCUUCGAAUUUGGUAAAAUUAAACGUAAUAAACACACACAAUUUUUAUUUUGGAAGAAAUGUCUGAAAUUGAUAAAUAUCAAGUGAGUGUCAAACUUUAUGGGAUGGAAUUGCAGGCUGCUUGUUGUACCUGUUGUGUUACAUGCCUAUCAGAAUAGGAUGUAACUCUAAGAAGCCACCUUUCCGAGCACCAGGUUAGAUGUAUUAGUUAGAAUUAAAGUGUAUGGUAGUCAUACAACCUAUGGGAAAAAAACUGUAUCAUUGUAUAUUUCAUCAACUGUAUAUCCUGUUAAUAUCAGUUAGUUUUUGGUUAUGAAAUGAAAAAAAAAGAAAAGAAAAAAAAGUCAGUUUCCAUUGGUAUCUAUACCCAAGGGAACAGUUUUUUUUUCCAAACUCUGAUAAGCUGUAAACUUGAGAAACAAAAAUCAGAUUUUAUUCUUUUAUACAUUCUGUAAUGAAGCAUUGGGGUCAUAUUUGCAUGAUUGAAUGAUGUGCUUCAGAAUGUGAAAAACUUUUUUCUAUAUACUGGAUAUUACUAUCUAUAUUUCCAGCUACACUUGAUUGUGAACAGAUCUGCUUAUUAUAAGAUCCUUAUUUUUGCCAACAAUUUCAUCACUUCCUGCAAUAUGGAUAUAUCCAUUGAAAUGUAUUGUUAGAAGACAACUGUAUAAGCUUAGCUCGACACGUUACAUUGUUUCUGAUAAUUAUCAGAGCUCGUUGAUAUGUCAUUUACUCGUCAGCUUUGGUGUUUUCACAUUUUCUUCUGUAAGUAAUUGCUCGAUAUUCUAAAAUGUAGGGAGUAAACUCAUUCAAACUACUGUCUAGUGGCCGAAGAAGAUUAGUCUCAGAUCUAUGUUGCUACUGGUCAACAAUGGACUAAUGUUUGCAAUUCGUGUGGUUUAUGGGGUGACAGUUUUGGAAACUAAAUACAACAAUUGAACUAUCUAGGUGUAAGUGUUUUGUUUUUCUUAUUGGGCAAAUUUUUUAAAAGGGAUCUUUUAUUUUUAUAAGAAAUCCUUAUCAGUUUAACAAAGUAGUAAUAACAUGAAAAGUUAAUUAUUAGUGACUUAAUUAUAAAUUAAAAACAACUCAUGUCAGAAUUGUCUGCCUAACUAACUCCAUAAAAAAAGAACCAGGUGGCUACUCAUACUGGAAGAUUUUUGAAAAAUAUAAAAUCAGAAUUAAACGUUUUGAAAACAAAAUUCUGGGGUCAAAUAUACAACAUUGGAAAGACAAGUUUUAAUUUAAAAUAUUAAUUACAACUAAUGUCAAUUAAAAAGCUAUGUUUCUCUUCUGUAGCUUAAGUUUUAAUUAAUGUGAGCACAAUUUAAUUUUAGUGGGAACCUUUGUUCUUUUGAAAUUUUUGUUG